UGUAUGAUUCCAUAUUUUGGAUUUCUUGUAAGAGUGUAUUUUCACAAUUUGAAUAAUAAAUUCAACAAAAGCAACAAUUAGAAUAAUCGUUUCAUCAGACUUUCCGCUGCAUAAUUGGAUAUUAUUAGAAUAAGUAAGUUUGUUACUUCAUUUCGCCGGAGGACAAGUUAUUGAAAGGGUAAAAUAUCAAGACUUAAUAAAUUUUGGAGCAAUUUGGUCAUCUGGUACAUUAAGCUGUCUAGAGCAUUAUGCAAUUCCACAUGUCGAUUUUAUUUAAUUUAUGUUUCGUCUAGCAAACGUAGCCUUUCCUCGUUCUCAAGAUUUAUACAAGUUGUAAUUAAUAUUUAAUUUAUUCAGAGUGAAGAUGUAAUAGAUAUGAAAAAACAUUAGUUAUUUAGUUGCAAUAUACCAGUGAAAUAGUUAGGUGUGUAUGCAGCGCAGUUACAGUUUUUUUUGCAAAAACAUGCAUUUUUACUGGCUGUCCAUUUUUUGUGCAUUAGUUUUGUGCACAGUUCAGUGCGCCAGCAUUGAAGAGCCUUUUAAUUAUGGCCCUAA